rnacentral:rRNA from 1 species
GACGUAGGGCGCGAGCGUUGUCCGGAAUUAUUGGGCGUAAAGCGCACGUAGGCGGCUUAGCAAGUCGGAUGUGAAAUCCCUUGGCUCAACCAAGGAAGUGCAUCCGAAACUGCUGAGCUUGAGUACCCAAAGAGGAUCGCGGAAUUCCCGGUGUAGAGGUGAAAUUCGUAGAUAGUCGGGAGGAACACCAGGUGGCGAAGGCGGCGAUCUGGGUGGAUACUGACGCUGAGGUGCGAAAGCGUGGGGGAGCAAACAGG